UUUCCGUAGGUGAACCUGCGGAAGGAUCAUUACCGAGUGAGGGCCCUCUGGGUCCAACCUCCCACCCGUGUUUAUUUUACCUUGUUGCUUCGGCGGGCCGCCGUAUGGCCGCCGGGGGGCUUCUGCCCCCGGGCCCGCGCCCGCCGAAGACACCUCGAACUCUGUCUGAAGAUUGUAGUCUGAGUAUAAAUAUAAAUUAUUUAAAACUUUCAACAACGGAUCUCUUGGUUCCG
rnacentral:misc_RNA from 1 species